AUGGACAGUUACCCGUUUUCAGGGUGGAGGGAGCAUUGUGUUACUGAGGGCUUACAUAGGCCAAUUGAUCAACAGUCUGGUCCAACCUAUUGGAGCACUUUGGGUCCAAUCUUCAAUUCAGACAGGAGUACAAAAGGAAAAGAUUGUCACCGUGCCAUCAACCUCCAUCCAGCGCUACUAAUGCCGUCCUACCAAAGAACAGAAGAGCCGGAUGACUUCCUUCUGAAGAGUAUGCCACAGGACGAGAAGAUGUUUUCACUGGGGAGGCCAGCCAUUUGGUUUGUAACAAUCUGA